GCAAAAUUUUUUUUUUACUCUCGAGUUAGCACUUUCCCAAAUUGUCAUGAAUUUUGCUCAAUUUGAGUAAAAAAAACCCAUUGCUACUGAAUUCAGUAUUUACAGUAGCAUGGACUCAAACUAUCAGGUGUUUUUAGUCUGAGCUCGAACCACGGUCGUUUUUGUUUUGUUUUUUUUUUUCUUGACUCCAAUGCAUUUCAUUUUGCCGGUCGCGAUUUUGGAGCGGAAAAUAUAGUUAUUCGUGUUUUUUGAAGGUUCAAAUUGUGUCCGGGUCCGAUAAGUUGCGACUCCCAACGGUUCUGGCGACUUUUAAAAGUUUGAUAGGUGUAGCCACCAGGAUUCCUCGAGUGGCUCAACUUCCUGUGGUUAACCAGCAGUGCCGGAUGUGCUAUUUCGCCAGACUUCCGGAAGCGGUGUUCCGCUUCAGAAAAGUUUUAGGAAAAGCCCUAGAGAGUUUUCAUAAAAGUAUCAGCAAAAGGAACUGCACCAGGGAAUAUUAUAAUGGAAUGGAAGUGGCAUCCAGUAUCCCUCCUGCGCAAAUGUCAUCGAGUGGGGUUCUUGCAGGCGUAAAACACAGAGCUGCCCGAAUGAGGAAGGAUUUUCUCGGUUUUGGCGAUGCUGAUAUUUCCAAGAUCAUAUAGUGAUGAUCAAAAUGAUACUGAAAGGCUUGGAAGCGCGAUGUUGGAGGAAGUUGAACAACUUGCAAAGUUGGACUUAAUGGUAAUUAACUAUUUCAACACAUGAUUAUGUUUUAUAAUCUGAUUGAACUUCAUUUUAUUUUUUUUCCAGGAAUUCAUCUGUCAUCAACCGGCUAGCUUGACAAUUCUUAUAACACUCUUACAAGAUGAUGGGCGGCAAUAAAACUUCCAAAGAAAAAAGAUUUUAUUCGCGACUGAUAUCCAAAAUAAAACAGGAAAUUGAUAAGAACCAAUCCUCAUUUUUUUUUCAUUAGAAAUAGAAAACCCAUAAAUUUAAUAUAAUGAAUAUUUAAUUUUACUCAAAUUCUAGCAAACGUGAGAAAAAUAAAUUUUGCUAAAAUUUAAGCAAACAAAGGGUUUUGUUUGCUUCAAAAUUAGUAAACAUUCAGU